rfam:Otolemur garnettii contig140249, whole genome shotgun sequence.
AAGUGUUAUAGAACUUUUAUAAUUUAUUUGACAGGUUUUCUGGUCUCUACCAGAAGACACCCCA